AGACCCGAAACCCGGUGAUCUAGCCAUGGGCAGGUUGAAGGUUGGGUAACACUAACUGGAGGACCGAACCGACUAAUGUUGAAAAAUUAGCGGAUGACCUGUGGCUGGGGGUGAAAGGCCAAUCAAACCGGGAGAUAGCUGGUUCUCCCCGAAAGCUAUUUAGGUAGCGCCUCGUGAAUUCAUCUCCGGGGGUAGAGCACUGUUUCGGCUAGGGGGCCAUCCCGGCUUACCAACCCGAUGCAAACUGCGAAUACCGGAGAAUGUUAUCACGGGAGACACACGGCGGGUGCUAACGUCCGUCGUGAAGAGGGAAACAACCCAGACCGCCAGCUAAGGUCCCAAAGUCAUGGUUAAGUGGGAAACGAUGUGGGAAGGCCCAGACAGCCAGGAUGUUGGCUUAGAAGCAGCCAUCAUUUAAAGAAAGCGUAAUAGCUCACUGGUCGAGUCGGCCUGCGCGGAAGAUGUAACGGGGCUAAACCAUGCACCGAAGCUGCGGCAGCGAACGUAUCACCCAAGACAACUUUACGGAGUUGACGAUUGACGGAGCGAAGCGACGUCAAAGCGUUCAUUAAAGUCGAGUUGGCUUAGGGAUACGUUCGUUGGGU
rnacentral:rRNA from 2 species